rnacentral:rRNA from 1 species
GACGAACGCUGGCGGCGUGCUUAACACAUGCAAGUCGAACGGUGAUCUUGAGAGCUUGCUCUUGGGUGAUCAGUGGCGAACGGGUGAGUAACACGUGAGUAACCUGCCCCUGACUCUGGAAUAACUUCGGGAAAACGAAGCUAAUACCGGAUAUGACACAGAGCCGCAUGGUUUCUGUGUGGAAAGUUUUUCGGUUGGGGAUGGACUCGCGGCCUAUCAGCUUGUUGGUGAGGUAAUGGCUCACAAAGGCGACGACGGGUAGCCGGCCUGAGAGGGCGACCGGCCACACUGGGACUGAGACACGGCCCAGACUCCUACGGGAGGCAGCAGUGGGGAAUAUUGCACAAUGGGCGAAAGCCUGAUGCAGCGACGCCGCGUGAGGGAUGAAGGCCUUCGGGUUGUAAACCUCUUUCAGUAGGGAAGAAGCGCAAGUGACGGUACCUACAGAAGAAGCACCGGCUAACUACGUGCCAGCCGCCGCAGUAACAC